AUGGGCUUCCGUGCAGCUGAGACGACGAUGAGGAGGGAUCCGCCACAGUCUGCCGGCUCCGGGGGGCUGGCGGCGCUAUCCGCCAGCCUCGCGCGGGGCAUCGCCGGCAGCCCCGUGGACAGCAAUCUGGUCUUCUCCCCGCUCUCCAUCUACACCGCGCUGGCGCUCGUGGCCGCCGGCGCCCGCGGCGCCACCCUGGACGAGAUCCUCCGCGUCCUCGGCGCGCGGUCCCGCGGCGAGCUCGACGAGUUCGUCGCACGUGCGGUGGGUGGCGCGCUGCGUGACCGGACAGACUCGGGCGGCCCGCGCGUGGCGUUCGCGUGCGGCGUCUGGAGCGACCUGGCGUGCCCGCUCAAGCCCGGGUACCUCAAGGCCGUCGUCGACGGCGGGUAUAGGGCCGAGGCCUCCACCGUCGACUUCCGCGGCGACCCCGACAGCCCGCGCCAGCUGAUCAACGCGUGGGCGGCGCGCGCCACGAGCAACCUGGUCGACUCCGUCCUCGGCCCUGGGUCGGUGACCGAGUCCACCCGCGUCGUGCUCGGCAACGCCGUGUACUUCAAGGGCAAGUGGGACCAGCCCUUCGACGAGAGGAACACCGCCGACGCGCCGUUCCGCCGGCUCGGCGGCGCCCACCCCGUCGACGUGCCCUUCAUGCAGAGCUGGGAUGAGCAGUUCGUGGCCGUGCACGACGGGUUCAAGGUGCUCAAGCUUCGGUACAAGAUGGCGGACGCGUUCCUGACGCGUGAUCCUAAGAAGCCCGCCCCGUUCUUUCCUCAGCGUGCUCCACUCCUCCGUCCUGACCGAUUCUCUAAUGCCGCUUCACCUUCCCGCCAUGGUUCCUACGGCCGCGCCGGUCCGUAUCCAUGCUCGUACGGCGACAUUAACACGUCAUCGACCGCGUCCCCCAACAACAACAUGAACAACUUUACCUCCAACUCCACACAGUUUUCCUUGUGCAUCUUCCUCCCGGGCGCCGACGACGGCCUGCGCAGCAUGGUCGACGCGAUCGCUUCACGGCCGGGCUUCCUGCACGACCACCUGCCUCGCCGGAAGGUCGAGGUCGGCGAGUUCCGUGUGCCCAGGUUCAAGCUGUCCUUCCACGACAGCGUGGUCGACGUCCUCAAGGAGUUGGGCCUCAGCCUGCCGUUCAGCCCGCUGGGCGACCUGUCCGACAUGACGGGGCCCGACGACUCCGGCUUCGGAAUGGUCGUGGACGAAGUCGUCCACAAGGCGGUCAUCGAGGUGAACGAGGAGGGCACGGAGGCCGUGGCUGUCACCAUGGUUACUGACCGGUACGGCUGCGCGGCCAGGUGCAGUCCGCCGCGGCGGGUGGAUUUCGUCGCUGACCAUCCGUUUGCCUACUUCAUCGUGGAGGAGGAGACCGGCGCCGUCGUCUUUGCCGGCCAUGUCGUUGACCCCUCGAAGGAAAGUUAG
rnacentral:rRNA from 1 species